UACGGAGGGUGCAAGCGUUGUUCGGAAUUACUGGGCGUAAAGCGUGCGCAGGCGGUUUUGUAAGACAGAUGUGAAAUCCCCGGGCUCAACCUGGGAACUGCGUUUGUGACUGCAAGACUCGAGUGCGGCAGAGGGGGGUGGAAUUCCACGUGUAGCAGUGAAAUGCGUAGAGAUGUGGAGGAACACCAGUGGCGAAGGCGACUUUCUGGUCUGUAACUGACACUGAGGCGCGAAAGCGUGGGGAGCGAACAGG
rnacentral:rRNA from 1 species